rnacentral:rRNA from 1 species
GACGAACGCUGGCGGCGUGCUUAACACAUGCAAGUCGAACGGAAAGGCCCUGCUUUUGUGGGGUGCUCGAGGGGCGAACGGGUGAGUAACACGUGAGUAACCUGCCCUUGACUUUGGGAUAACUUCAGGAAACUGGGGCUAAUACCGGAUAGGAGCUCCUGCUGCAUGGUGGGGGUUGGAAAGUUUCGGCGGUGGGGGAUGGACUCGCGGCUUAUCAGCUUGUUGGUGGGGUAGUGGCUUACCAAGGCUUUGACGGGUAGCCGGCCUGAGAGGGUGACCGGCCACAUUGGGACUGAGAUACGGCCCAGACUCCUACGGGAGGCAGCAGUGGGGAAUAUUGCACAGUGGGCGGAAGCCUGAUGCAGCAACGCCGCGAUCGGGAUGACGGCCUUCGGGUUGUAAACCGCUUUCGCCUGUGACGAAGCGUGAGUGACGGUAAUGAGUAAAGAAGCACCGGCUAACUACGUG